AGACCAUACCUAAACCAUAACAAGAUAGAUCGUGGUCUAUGGAUUUCAAGGUCUGUAUUUCUCGUCUUCUUUGGAUUGUCUUGAUCAUCGUUUUGGCUUAUGGACGUGGAGCAGAUGGGAAAGGUGAUCCUGUUCCAAAUCGUGGAACCGAUCCUCCUCAUAACAGACGACUUGCUAGAAACUUUUCGAGGAUCUUGAAUGAUGAUCAUAAUUAAUCACAAUACUGGACUAUAUUAAGUCUUGGGUAUUUUCAUAUUCUUGUGAAAUUAUAACCUUUCAUCCUUAUUGAAUCUAUCUUUACAAACAUGAGUGUGUUCUUGGAUGUGAUUUCUAGUCCAAGAGCUUGAAUAAAGAUCAUAAUCAAAAUUGUAGUACUACAUAUCCUCCAAUUUCUGUGUAUUAUUAUCCAUUUGUUUUCCUUGUUGAAUCUUUCUUUUUUUUUUCCUUUUUUAUGAUUACUAUAUGUGUAUGAAUAUGAUUUCUAGUUGUUAGAUGUUACCGUUUAAAGUUAUACUUCAUGUGUUGAAGUCUAAUAGUAAUGGUGGUUCUAAAUAACUUGUUAUAGUAUCGAAGUUUCGCUUCACAGUUACAUUAAUGAAGUGGCUCCGUUCUAAGGUUUGGAGUGCAUUGUAACA